AGGUAAAUAUGAAGCUGUGGAAGCUACCUUGUUCUUGGCAUGCCCGUGGGACCUUGUUCUUCUUCCAUUCAGCACCCAUCACACUGGCCUGCGUUUUAACUCCCUGUUUGUCUCUCUGUAUCUCUCAGAGCCUCUUACAGAGACACGGUUGGGACAUGCUGUCAGAUGUCUUUGGUGGGCUACCAUAUGAAGACCAUGUGUGAGGACCAUGCUAGGCAUGUUUCAUCUUCGCUGAGCUCUUACCACAGGCCACAGGUAACACAAAUAUAAACAGUCGAUAAAAAGACCCCCCCAGGAGCAAAACCAGAGAAGCAGUGAAAAUCCUGGAGACAGACGAUGGAGAAAAUUCUGGAAGCUCUGUUUAUGAUCACCUCUUUCUGGGAAUUGAAGAAAGGACAGCAGAUGUUAGCCUGCGGAAGGUUUUACAGAGACUGGUUUAUGGUACUUGUCAAGGUGAAGUAAAACGGAGAGGUGAUGUCUAGCUUGGAACGCAAGGUGAAUUGGAAGUGAUUUGGUAUCGCUGACCAAGACCUCACCAUUCAGAUUGCCAAAUCCAUACCUAACCCAUACCAAUUAAAGGAUGGGACAGUGAGAAACUGUCUCUGCA